rnacentral:rRNA from 1 species
GAGUUUGAUCGUGGCUCAGAUUGAACGCUGGCGGCAUGCCUUACACAUGCAAGUCGAGCGGCAGCGCGGGGGCAACCCUGGCGGCGAGCGGCGAACGGGUGAGUAAUACAUCGGAACGUGUCCUUUCGUGGGGGAUAACCAGUCGAAAGACUGGCUAAUACCGCAUGAGAUCUCACGAUGAAAGCGAGGGACCGCAAGGCCUCGCGCGAUUGGAGCGGCCGAUGUCGGAUUAGCUAGUUGGCGGGGUAAUGGCCCACCAAGGCGACGAUCCGUAGCUGGUUUGAGAGAACGACCAGCCACACUGGGACUGAGACACGGCCCAGACUCCUACGGGAGGCAGCAGUGGGGAAUUUUGGACAAUGGGGGCAACCCUGAUCCAGCCAUGCCGCGUGUGUGAAGAAGGCCUCGGUUGUAAG